rnacentral:lncRNA from 1 species
UAUUAGUAAAAUAUUAAUAUAAUACCUAUCCAUUCAAACAUAUGAUAACUUUUUUAAAAAUAUUUUUUAAUAUUAAAAUAAUAAUUAAAUUAUUUUUUUCGAUGAUUAGUACAGGUGGGUUGAAAUAAAAAAUUUUAGAAUGCAAUAGAUAUAUUAGUAAUGUGGCGCAACAAAUCAAUCAAAUGUCUUCUUUUAGGAGUAUAUGUCUCAUUAAAAUUAUAAAUAAAUAUUUUUAUUAUAUGUUUAUUUAAAAAAAAUAUGAUUGACUUGUUAUUAAUAACGUGAUGUAAGUAUGAUAAUGUAGAAUUUGUCGGUUGAAAUACCGUGCGCGUGGGUGUGCAGAGAAAUUAAUUUUACCUGGACCUCAACAUAUAAGUAGUAUAAAAAAUACUAAAGAUUACGUAGAAUUGGCCACGUGCUUUGUGUACUUUAGAUCUAGAAGAGGUUAAGGAUAAGGUCAACGUUUUGGAGUCUUAAUAUAUUAUAUUAUGUUUAUUACAAAGAGGAUUCAAACUUUGUAGUUUUGUUUGAACUAUAAUUAGAAAUUCGAUUUGAAAUUGAUAAUUGAAUUCAAAUUUAAUUUAGAAUUUUCAUUUAAAUUAUAGUAAAAAUUUUGAAUUUGACUUUAAUUUUUGGAUUAUAUAUUUAGUACUUGGAAUCAAUAUUGAAUGUAAAUUUAUAUUAAAAUUUGAGUUGAAAAUGUGAGUUUGAAUUCAUUUAAAAAAAUUAAAAACUUUGCAUCGAAAUCUGAAUCUUAAUUGUGAAUUUUAAAUUUAAAUUCAGUUUUAGAUUUUGAAUUUGAGACUUUGUAUUUGAAUUUGUAUUUGAAAUUUUAAAUUUGAAUGCAGAAUAUGAAUUUGAAUAAAAAUUUAUAUUUUGAAUCCGAAGUUUAAUUAGAAUUGGAAACAAAAAUGUGAAUUUGAAUUUAAUAUUUGGAUUCGAAU